AUUGAACGCUGGCGGCAGGCCUAACACAUGCAAGUCGAACGAGGGGCGGACGGGUGAGUAAUGUCUGGGAACCUGCCUGAUGGAGGGGGAUAACUACUGGAAACGGUAGCUAAUACCGCAUACCAUCGGAUGUGCCCAGAUGGGCUUAGCUAGUGGGUGGGGUAACGGCUCACCCAGGCGACGAUCCCUAGCUGGUCUGAGAGGAGGACCAGCCACGCGGGAACCAAGACACAGACCCGACUCCGAAGGGAGGCAGCAGUGGGGAAUAGUGCACAAUGGGCGAAAGCCUGCUGCAGCCAUGCCGCGUGUAUGAAGAAGGCCUUAGGGUUGUAAAGUACUUUCAGCGGGGAGGCGUUACCCGCAGAAGAAGCACCUGCUAACUCCGUGCCAGCAGCCGCGGUAAUAC
rnacentral:rRNA from 1 species